AGGGAAUCUUCCACAAUGGACGAAAGUCUGAUGGAGCAACGCCGCGUGAGUGAAGAAGGUUUUCGGAUCGUAAAGCUCUGUUGUUGGUGAAGAAGGAUAGAGGCAGUAACUGGUCUUUAUUUGACGGUAAUCAACCAGAAAGUCACGGCUAACUACGUGCCAGCAGCCGCGGUAAUACGUAGGUGGCAAGCGUUGUCCGGAUUUAUUGGGCGUAAAGCGAGCGCAGGCGGAAUGAUAAGUCUGAUGUGAAAGCCCACGGCUCAACCGUGGAACUGCAUCGGAAACUGUCAUUCUUGAGUGCAGAAGAGGAGAGUGGAACUCCAUGUGUAGCGGUGGAAUGCGUAGAUAUAUGGAAGAACACCAGUGGCGAAGGCGGCUCUCUGGUCUGCAACUGACGCUGAGGCUCGAAAGCAUGGGUAGCGAGCAGGAUUAGAUACCCUGGUAGUCCAUGCCGUAAACGAUGAGCGCUAGGUGUUGGGGACUUUCCGGUCCUCAGUGCCGCAGCAAACGCAUUAAGCGCUCCGCCUGGGGAGUACGACCGCAAGGUUGAAAC
rnacentral:rRNA from 1 species